UCCGAAGUAGCUCAGUGGUAGAGCAAUCGACUGUUAAUCGAUCGGUCGUAGGUUCGAGUCCUACCUUCGGAGCCA
rnacentral:tRNA from 3 species